UCAUGUUUUAUUUAUUUCGAUAUAAUCGUGUAAUCGUUUAAUCGUGCAAUCGACGGGAUGCAUAUUUCGAUCAUAAUUAUCGCUAAAAUCUACUUUAGAUGAAAAAAUAUUUAUGUCGUCUCGUUCACGUGCCAUUUUUCGUUGUCACGAUCGAACGAUAAACACUAGUCUCAGAACUCUAACGUUAUUUUUUCAAUUUACAAUGACAUGCGAGAAAGAAGACUCAGCUGUCGUCGUUUAUGGAGGUUGCUUGGCCACACUGGAACGAAGAGGAGUAGCGCCUUUGAAACGAAUCACGCGCUCUGUCCACCAAGCAAGAUGUUUCGUGAAAUCGUAAGGCCUGUCCUUGGUGAGGUUCUUGAGUUUUAGCAUGUUUUGUUUGUACC